GAUGAACGCUGGCGGCGUGCUUAACACAUGCAAGUCGAACGGAAAGGCUCCUGCUUGCAGGGGUACUCGAGUGGCGAACGGGUGAGUAACACGUGGGUGAUCUGCCCAGCACUUCGGGAUAAGCCUGGGAAACUGGGUCUAAUACCGGAUAGGACGAUGGUUUGGAUGCCAUUGUGGAAAGUUUUUUCGGUGUGGGAUGAGCUCGCGGCCUAUCAGCUUGUUGGUGGGGUAAUGGCCUACCAAGGCGUCGACGGGUAGCCGGCCUGAGAGGGUGUACGGCCACAUUGGGACUGAGAUACGGCCCAGGCUCCUACGGGAGGCAGCAGUGGGGAAUAUUGCACAAUGGGCGGAAGCCUGAUGCAGCGACGCCGCGUGGGGGAUGACGGCCUUCGGGUUGUAAACUCCUUUCGCUAGGGACGAAGCGCAAGUGACGGUACCUGGAGAAGAAGCACCGGCUAACUACGUG
rnacentral:rRNA from 1 species